rnacentral:rRNA from 1 species
UACGUAGGGUGCGAGCGUUGUCCGGAAUUAUUGGGCGUAAAGAGCUCGUAGGCGGUGUGUCACGUCGGCCGUGAAAACCUGGGGCUUAACUCUGGGCGUGCGGUCGAUACGGGCAUCACUAGAGUUCGGCAGGGGAGACUGGAAUUCCUGGUGUAGCGGUGAAAUGCGCAGAUAUCAGGAGGAACACCAGCGGCGAAGGCGGCGCUCUGGGCCGGAACUGACGCUGAGGAGCGAAAGCGUGGGUAGCAAACAGG